UCAUUUUAAUCAACAAAAUGAAUUAGCAUGACAUUAUAUUUGAAGCUUUCAUAAAAGUAGAAACUUGUCUGUGAGUAGUUUUGCUGAUAUUUACCUAGUCAUCUCUUCUUUGCUUUCUCUUGAUUGAAACUCUGAUUGUUAUUUAUUUUGGUACACUCACGAAUCCCAAAAUUUUUUGCUGAAAUAAAACCUUUGAUAUUUAGGGCAAGUUUUAAUGAUCUGUUUUCUUUUAGAAUGACUAAUUUUAAAAGAAAAAAAUGCCAAGUCAUAGUCACACUUCCCAGGCAUGCAUCAUUUUAUGACAUUUUUUUUUUUUUCUGAGCAUGAAGAAUUUCUUCUUAGAGCAAAAACUUGGAAGAACAGAGGCACCAAGGCCAAAGCAUCUAAAACAAGUGGAUUAUCUACAGCUGGAACAGUUUAUCUUAAAUUUAUGCUGCAAUCAAGAACAGAGUUCUCAUCUCUAUGAGCUAUGGAAUAAAAUAACAAAAACGACAAGAGAUGGUUGAACUAUGAGUCUAUGGAUUGAUUUCUGUGUUCACUUUCUAAGAAGGAAGAAGGCAAGUGCAAUAACAUCUGGAGGACUCAUGUGAAAAUCUCUGAGGCUUGGAUUCUUCAUGAAUGUGCAUUUCCUAAAGACGUCCACAUUUGAACAACAAAUCUCAUGUUCACGAUGGGCCAGAAGGAGCUGAAAUGACAGCUGCGUCAACACAUGGAAAAUGAAGUAUGGGACAGAGAGCUGUUAUGAGAAAACUCCAUCAGUGUAGCACCUUCGUCACCUGGAUAUUCCAGAUGACACCUGCAGGAUGAUUUCCUGAACACAGAUACAUCUAAGACAGUGGGGUUUUGUAGCCCUUAAUAUACUCUGCCUGGUGCCCAGCGAUAUGCUCCGAGGAGGUAAAAAUGCAAAAUAGUCUCAGUAAAAAAAAAAAAUUAAAUGGUUUCUUAGAAAUGACUGCCAUCCUUAGCACUUAGCAUGUGAAGUGGCAGAUGGAGUCGCAGCAUCUUCCCCAUGGGAGGAAGGACAUGUGCAGAGAUUUCUUUAUUACUCCAGUGCAUUCCUUCCCGAGAUGUAGAAAGGAUCAUGGAAUUUAUUGCCUUUGCUCGUCACAACUCAAGACUAAAUUCAGCCAAAACUGCUCCAUUAUAAAAGUGAAGUUAGAUGGUUGCUUUAAUGAGGCAAGAAGGGGAAAUUCUGGUUCUCUGCCUGAGCUGGAUGCAGCCUGCCCUGAGAGCUAGCUGAGGGUCCGGAUGCUGAGCUGGCCCCGACUUGGGUUACGAAGAGCAGUGUCAGCAGAACGGGAGGCUCAGCCCUCGCUUGGAAACAGAUGCCAUUUAAGCAGAACGGAAUCCACUCUGAACCAGCCCUUGGCUGCCGCCGCAGCUCACAUGGCCACCAUCUGCUGUAGUAAUGUCCCCACCAUGACAUACUCCCUGCUUCUUCUGGUAACCUUCCCAUGUGAGUAGCACCGCCUGAUUUGGGAGGAUGCAAGCUAUAAAUAAUGGCUUUAGCACCCCAGCUCAAGCCAAGAGCAAAAUUCUUCCUCUUUAGGGUUGGUCCCAGUAAAGGGAGAGGUAGAUUGUUGCCUCCGUCUCCUGCUCUCUUCUCCCUCUUGUCAAUUCUCUCCUCUCAAUCUGCCCCCUCUUCCCAGGCGUGUGGUGCAUGCACUCUUGCCUCCUCACCACUUGCAUCUGAGACCAGCUCAGAGCAAUGAGCU